AUAUGAUGGUAUCAGCCAUCAGAUGUCACUGAUAAGAUCUGAUGCUUGAGGGCACAAAGCGACAGAAUUAAACACUUUGAUCUUCCAAGCCUCCUUCCGUCCUCACCAUCAUUCCCUCUUGCUCCACCGUCCCUGUGCCAAAUACUAUUGGGUCAGACGGUCAUUUUGAUCUGUGUUAUUCCACAGAGAGUCAAAUCUCCAGUCCCCGGAAAGUCUGAAGAAGCCAAGACUAAUCUAAACCACAAUUGUCCAGCUCUGCUCUUGCAAGGCCCCAGGGCAGUGCUGGGAAGGCGACCCCCCGCAGGCCUGCUGCAGGACACACGGACACGCUGGAGGUCUUUGAAAGGAAAGGAGCGACACACAGCAGCAAUUCACCGGAGAAUUCCGCUUUAUUAGGGAAAGUCUUCACCUUAGGUAAGCCUGAGUCACACGCGCUCCUCAAAAAAGUCCCGCCAGAUCCCUACCCAGGAGGCUCAGCUCGGACCUCCGGGUGAUUCUAAUACAGACCAGGGGGGCCAUCUUUGAGAAACGCUGGGCAGAAUGGAAAUAUUUCAGUGCACUUGAAUGCUGAGAUGAAAUGGCCAACGGUGAGAGGAGAGUGAAGACGGCAGGAGACUGGAAGCCAGGCCCCA